rnacentral:rRNA from 1 species
UACGUAGGAGACGAGCGUUGUCCGGAGUUACUGGGCGUAAAGGGUGCGCAGGUGGCCGCGCGCGUGGGGGGUGAAAUCGCCUGGCUUAACUGGGCGGGGGCCUUCCAGACGGCGUGGCUUGAGCAGCGGAGGGGGGCGUGGAAUUCCGGGUGGAGCGGUGAAAUGCGCAGAUAUCGGGAGGAACACCGGUGGCGAAGGCGGUUCUCUGGGCCUGUACUGACGCUGAGGAGCGAAAGCGUGGGGAGCAAACAGG